UUGCUUCUUUAUAAUUAACACCUUCAACACUAUUCACUUCAGUUUGUAGUUCAGGUACAGAUAUUUUUCGCCUGCCCUUCUGAAUGUCCGUUUGAGCUCAAACUUGACAGUCAGGCUCGGUUUUACUUAACUUAACGAAAGAAAUUUUAAUCUUUUAGUUUCGAUCACAUUUGGUCACCGAAAGCUCUACCGAACUGUAAUCUCUAGCAGGUAGCAGUUAGAUUUUAUUUUCCACCUUCCGGGUGUCGGAUUGAUAUGAAACUUUAAAUCUAGCCUCAUAAAAAUAAUUCCGACAAAUUCUCCAGUUUUCAUAAUUUUCUGACACUGUGCAUUUUCUGCUAAAAUAUCAGUCCCGUUUCGCAUAGAAAAUUCUAAAUCUUCUGUUUUUAUUCCGAUUUCAGCACAAGUCAUUUCUGACUUAUAUUUUACUUCUCUAAAUUCAAUAAAAAUAGUAUCUCACACUAUUUUUAUUUAUUUUUACUUUUAUACCAAAAUCUGGUAUGUUACAUUUUAUGGCCGACAUCUUCCACGUUAAUAUCCACCAUUU
rnacentral:lncRNA from 1 species